GAUGAACGCUGGCGGCGUGCUUAACACAUGCAAGUCGAACGAAGCACUUAAUGAGAUUUCUUCGGAUUGAUUAUUUUGUGACUGAGUGGCGGACGGGUGAGUAACGCGUGGGUAACCUGCCCCCAGACCGGGGGAUAACAGUCGGAAACGACUGCUAAUACCGCAUAAGCGCACAGUGCCGCAUGGCACGGUGUGAAAAACUCCGGUGGUCUGGGAUGGACCCGCGUCCGAUUAGUUAGUUGGUGGGGUAACGGCCCACCAAGACUGCGAUCGGUAGCCGACCUGAGAGGGUGACCGGCCACAUUGGGACUGAGACACGGCCCAGACUCCUACGGGAGGCAGCAGUGGGGAAUAUUGCACAAUGGAGGAAACUCUGAUGCAGCGACGCCGCGUGAGCGAAGAAGUAUUUCGGUAUGUAAAGCUCUGUCAGCAGGGAAGAUAAUGACGGUACCUGACCAAGAAGCCCCGGCUAACUACGUGCCAGCAGCCGCGGU
rnacentral:rRNA from 1 species